UAGGGAAUCUUCGGCAAUGGACGAAAGUCUGACCGAGCAACGCCGCGUGAGUGAAGAAGGUCUUCGGAUCGUAAAACUCUGUUGUUAGAGAAGAACAAGGACGUUAGUAACUGAACGUCCCCUGACGGUAUCUAACCAGAAAGCCACGGCUAACUACGUGCCAGCAGCCGCGGUAAUACGUAGGUGGCAAGCGUUGUCCGGAUUUAUUGGGCGUAAAGCGAGCGCAGGCGGUUUCUUAAGUCUGAUGUGAAAGCCCCCGGCUCAACCGGGGAUGGUCAUUGGAAACUGGGAGACUUGAGUGCAGAAGAGGAGAGUGGAAUUCCAUGUGUAGCGGUGAAAUGCGUAGAUAUAUGGAGGAAAACCAGUGGCGAAGGCGGCUCUCUGGUCUGUAACUGACGCUGAGGCUAGAAAGCGUGGGGAGCAAACAGG
rnacentral:rRNA from 1 species